rnacentral:piRNA from 1 species
UGGUGAAGACAGACAUUUGCCUCAACACUAU